CUUUGUCCACCAGGCUGGAGUGCAGUGGUGCGAUCAUGACUCUCUUCAUCUUUGGCAGCAACCUACCACAUAGGGGAUUAUAGAAGAGGAGACUUGUAACUUCUAUGUGGUCACUUCAGACCUGCAGAGCAGGCAGGUGAGGUGAAAGAGGCUGUUUGAGAGUCCGAGCCUGUUGUAGAGAGAUCAGUCCAGUGGUCCAGGUUCAGUGAGGAAAUGAUCUGGUAGUAGUUCUUCUGGAAGCAUUCUUCUUUGGAAAUUCUACAGGAAUAAGAAACCUGCAUUGGCUGUGCUUCGUCACUGAUUCAGGAGCAGCCUGUGGAAAGCGUGGCCUCAGCAUCAAUGUGGUGGUGAACCCAGAGGAGUGGAAACAAGGCCAACUAUUAUGCUCCCUGCAGCAGGAGACCUGAGUGGUGCAUUGUCCUGGCCAUCACAAUGGCUUGAUCAGGCCUGGAAACCAGAGAAGAUGACCAAUUUCAAAACCAGAGAAGCAACCCUAAUAUGAAGUUCCAAAUGGUGUGGCAGGAAGGUAGCAAGACACCUGGGGCAGAUAACAACGGUUUGAGCACCUGCUCUGUGGCAAGCUGCCUGAAGGGACUUGACACACACUUGCAGACAGUUCUCAGAAAAGUUCAAUAAAUUGCCCAAGGCCAAAG
rnacentral:lncRNA from 1 species